AUGGUUACUAUCCAUAGAGCGCCGGCCGUUCACUCGCAGAGAGCUGUCUCCCUGUCUUUUGUAUCACCGUGGUACACGUUCGGUGGAGGAACCAGACUGGAUGUUGGAAGUGAUGUCCGUCCCACCCUGACGGUGCUGCCCCCCUCCAGUGAGGAGCUGCAGCAGGGGAAGGCCACGCUCAUGUGCCUGGCCAACAAGGGCUUCCCCUCAGACUGGAGUCUGGCCUGGAAGGUGGACGGCAGCAGCAGCAGCAGCAGCUGGGAGGAGAGCAGGAGCCCCGGGGUGCUGGAGAAGGACGGCCGCUACAGCUGGAGCAGCACCCUGAGGCUCCCUGCAGACCAGUGGAGGAAGGUGGGCUCUGUGACCUGUGAGGCCACCCAGGGCUCCCAGGCUCUGGUCUCAGAGACACUGAGGAGAGACCAGUGUUCCCAGUCCUGACCUCACUGGGACUCUGCUACUGUUCUCUGAAAUCUGUAACACCCUCUCUCUGUGUCUCUACUUUCCCCUCAGUCACUCUCUAAUUGUGUUUUUCAAUUGCAAGUUUAUUUUCCUUGAUGUAAUUUUGAUUAUUUCUACACAAUUAAAAUCAGUUCAUCACAA